rnacentral:rRNA from 1 species
CGCUCUUUGCAAAAGUAUUUAUGUAUAAAGAGUUCUGCCUGCCCAGUGACGUAGUUAAACGGCCGCAGUAUUUUGACUGUGCGAAGGUAGCAUAAUCAUUUGCUUCUUAAAUAGAGGCUGGUAUGAAUGGCAAGACGGGGGUUAAGCUGUCUCUUUCUUAAUUCUUGAAUUUGAUAUUUCUGUGAAGAAGCAGAAAUGUAUUCGUAGGACGAGAAGACCCUAUCGAGCUUUAGUAAAAUUGCUUAAAUUAGGUAAAUUCCUUGUAAGUCUAAUUAGGUGUAAAUAACAGGAAUUAAUGUUAAUUAUUAAGGUAAAAUAGUUUAGGUAAGGUAUUUUGAUUGGGGCAAUCAUGGAGAAGACGAAUCCUCCAUUUAAUAUUGAUAAAAUUACAAUUUUAGUAAGAAGAUCCAUUGCAUAAUGAUAAAAGGAAUAAGUUACCGUAGGGAUAACAGCGUAAUUUUUUUGGAGAGUUCAUAUUGAUAAAAAAGUUUGCGACCUCGAUGUUGGAUCAAGAUGUCCUGGAGAUGCAGUAGUUUCCAAGGGUUGGUCUGUUCGACCAUUAAAAUCUU